rnacentral:rRNA from 1 species
AUUGAACGCUGGCGGCAGGCCUAACACAUGCAAGUCGAACGAGUGGCGGACGGGUGAGUAAUGUCGGGGAAACUGCGCGAGGGAGGGGGAUAAAUACUGGAAACGGUCGAUAAUACCGCAUAACAGCGGAUGCGCCCAGAUGGGAUUAGCUAGGAGGUGGGGUAACGUCUCACCUAGGCGACGAUCCCUAGCUGGUCUGAGAGGAUGACCAGCCACACUGGAACUGAGACACGGUCCAGACUCCUACGGGAGGCAGCAGUGGGGAAUAUUGCACAAUGGGCGCAAGCCUGAUGCAGCCAUGCCGCGUGUAUGAAGAAGGCCUUCGGGUUGUAAAGUACUUUCAGCGAGGAGGCGUUACUCGCAGAAGAAGCACCGGCUAACUCCGUGCCAGCAGCCGCGGUAAUAC